rnacentral:rRNA from 1 species
GACGAACGCUGGCGGCGUGCUUAACACAUGCAAGUCGAACGGUGAAGCGCCUUCCUUUUUGGUGGGUGUGGAUGGGUGGCGAACGGGUGAGUAACACGUGAGUAACCUGCCCCCUUCUUCUGGAUAACCGCAUGAAAGUGUGGCUAAUACGGGAUAUUCUGGGUCUGUCGCAUGAUGGGUCUGGGAAAGAUAUUGUUUCGGUGGGGGAUGGGCUCGCGGCCUAUCAGCUUGUUGGUGGGGUGAUGGCCUACCAAGGCGGUGACGGGUAGCCGGCCUGAGAGGGUGGACGGUCACACUGGGACGGAGACACGGCCCAGACUCCUACGGGAGGCAGCAGUGGGGAAUAUUGCACAAUGGGCGCAAGCCUGAUGCAGCGACGCCGCGUGAGGGAUGGAGGCCUUCGGGUUGUGAACCUCUUUCGCCAGUGAAGCAGGCCUGCCUCGUUUGUGGGUGGGUUGACGGUAGCUGGAUAAGAAGCGCCGGCUAACUACGUG